CGGAUCGAAUCAUGUUUUUUCAAGUGUUUUUCCCGCUAGUUGGUGCUAUCGGCGUCCUGAUUUUCCCUGGCGGAUGGUACAAACAGGUAAAUACUGCUUCUCUUUUUUGCAUCCAAGCAUGUCGUGUUUAUUACAAAAAAAAAAGUUUACUCCGUUUUUUUGCGUUUUAGAUAUGACAGGCAAAAUCAGCCAGUACUUUAAAAAGCGACCUCGCGAGGAGGAAAGUCAAGAGUCCAGGUGAAACACAGCAGAGAAAAAACGUAACAGGCAGGUAAAAUGCUAUAAUUCAUGUUGGUGACAACGUGGAAAUUUGUGUCAGGUCUGAAAGUACUUCACAAGGAACUGGUGAUCGCGAGGGUCAGAAUGCAGGGCAGGACGAGUCGGCGAGGCGAGGGUAAUUAAUUAAUUAGUUUCCAAUUAGGAGCAUAACAACGCAAAGCCAACGUGUACAUGGUUUUUAUUUCUCUUUGUAGAUCUUCUCAAAAACACAGAGCCAGUGGCUUUGACAAGCAAUGGCUCAAUCAAUUUACCUGGCUCAGGCAUACUGAGGAAGGCAUGCACUGCUAUUUAUGCCAAAAGCACUGUGCCCCAACACAGCAUGCAAUUGCUGCCUCCUUAGUGAGACAGCCAUCAACCAACUACAGGCUGGACACAUUAAAAAGACAUGAAGUGACAGCCAUUCACAAAGCAGCAGAAGAGAAGGAGAAGUAUAUUAAAGAUGGUAGUACCUAAAAAACUCAACUAAUAAAGUUACAAAAAAUAAAUAACAUAGUUUAGAUAGUUUAAGAAAUAAUUGGUUGUCGUUUUUUUUUAGGGAGGACACUGCAGCGUAUACAUAUAUAUGAUUGAGAACACUAUCACUCUUCAUGUCUGUAUCAGAAUAAAAACAAAAAUACUUAAUGCAUGAUGAAUUGUUUUGAUUAAGGUGAAGACACCUCUGUGGAACAGACUGAAGGAGAGGCACUUGGAUGUCUGUUGUAAGGUGGCCGUUGAUGGACCAGACCAGGAGGCCUUGGACUACAAGGAGUGCAUCAGGAGGUUCUACAGAAUGAAAAAGAGGAGGCUGAAAUGUUCUGUCUGGUUGCGAGAUGUGUGGAUGAAGUGUAC